UACGUAGGGUGCGAGCGUUAAUCGGAAUUCCUGGGCGUAAAGCGUGCGCAGGCGGUAAUGUAAGACAGAUGUGAAAUCCCCGGGCUUAACCUGGGACCUGCAUUUGUGACUGCAUUGCUGGAGUGCGGCAGAGGGGGAUGGAAUUCCGCGUGUAGCAGUGAAAUGCGUAGAUAUGCGGAGGAACACCGAUGGCGAAGGCAAUCCCCUGGGCCUGCACUGACGCUCAUGCACGAAAGCGUGGGGAGCAAACAGG
rnacentral:rRNA from 1 species